rnacentral:rRNA from 1 species
UUUCCGUAGGUGAACCUGCGGAAGGAUCAUUAUUGAAAUAAACCUGAUGAGUUGCUGCUGGUUCUCUAGGGAGCAUGUGCACACUUGUCAUCUUURUAUCUCCACCUGUGCACCUUUUGUAGACCUGGAUAUCUCUCUGAAUGCUAGUCACUCAGGUUUGAGGAUUGACUUUAUGUCUCUCCUUGCAUUUCCAGGCCUAUGUUUCUUUAUAUACCCAAUGUAUGUCAUAGAAUGUAAUCAAUGGGCCUUUGUGCCUAUAAACCUAUACAACUUUCAGCAACGGAUCUCUUGGCUCUCGCAUCGAUGAAGAACGCAGCGAAAUGCGAUAAGUAAUGUGAAUUGCAGAAUUCAGUGAAUCAUCGAAUCUUUGAACGCACCUUGCGCUCCUUGGUAUUCCGAGGAGCAUGCCUGUUUGAGUGUCAUUAAUAUAUCAACCUCUUCAACUUUUGUUUGUCGGGUGUUGGAUUUGGGGGUCUUUUUUGCUGGUCUUGUAUCNNAGCUCCCCUGAAAUGCAUUAGCAGAACAAUUUGUGAACCGUUCAUUGGUGUGAUAACUAUCUACGCUGUUGACGUGAAACAGGUUCAGCUUCUAACAGUCCAUUGACUUGGACAACUUUUCAUUAAUGUGACCUCAAAUCAG